GUGCCAUCAAAAUUUUUUGAGUGAGCCACCUGAAAAUCCAGAGUAACAAGAAAAGUCUCAAAAAUAUCAGUCACCUUACAUGAUUCAAAUCAUCUGAGACCUGGAGAGAAGGGUCAGAACAGACCUGCCAUGGUUGAAUCUGAUGUGAUUAUUUACAUCCAAGUUAGAAAUCUCUAAAAUUAUAUGGAGUCUAAAAACAAUAUUGACCAAACCUCAGGCACGUUGCUUCAACUCUAGUUGUUCUGCUCUAGUCCUGUGGCUGAUGUUUCAAGAUGAGCAAACCACUGAUAAUAACUUACCUAACACAUCUGUGCAGUGCUAAACCAAACAAGCAUAAUUAGAUAUGCAUAUAAACAAGAUUAAAAUAGAGAAAUCAAAAUUUACCAUACCCUGGAGCACUAGUAAAUAAGCAAACAUCACUUAUUCAUGCAGAAAAUGCAGUUGUUAAAUCCAGGCAGCUUACACAAGUACUGAGUAACACCCACCUCCUGUAACCUAGAGGCCACCACACAGAAUUCAUCAUGGCCAAGAAACUCCAGGUAGGCUGUAAGGGUAGAUAAAUGGUAUGAAGUUCGAAGGAUAGAGAACAUGACUCUAGUGUUUAUGGGAUUAAGAGACCUUGCAGAUUACGUGUAAGAUCUCUAGAAGCUAUAGAAGCCUCAAAGAACAAUCUUGAACACGGAGCCUGUGCUUGAGUGGAAGCCAUUGAAGGAAAAGCAAAACAGUGGCUAGAGGGAAAUUCUUGGACUACAUAACAUCCAAG
rnacentral:lncRNA from 10 species